AAUAAGCGCAACCAUGAGUUUUCGUGUCCAAUUUUGACCGUCUAUUUUAUUUAAAAUUAUUUUAUGAUUAGUAUUUUUAUUGUUAUUAGAUUAUAAAAUAUGAAUAGUACUUUAUGCGUGACUUAUGUUUGUUAAUUUUUUAAAAAAAAUUUAAAUAAGACGAAUGAUUAAAGUUGGACACAGAAACUCAUGACUGCGCUUAUU
rnacentral:pre_miRNA from 1 species